rnacentral:lncRNA from 1 species
UCUUUUCUAAGCAAAUGCACAUGUAUUUUCAUAUUGAGUUUGUGCAACUAUUACGGCAAGGAACACAUGCAUAUUAUGACUGAUCAGAGACCUAUUAUUAGAUCCCCGCACAUGUACUUAAUGAUUAUAGGAAGGCCUCAGGAGUUUAUAUUUGUUUAAUGCAUUUUUAUUAAGCCGUAUCUAUAAAAGAAGUACGAGUAUCCUUGUCCGUACUAUAAGGUUCAUGAUUUGGUUUUCACAUAAAGAUAGAGGUUGAAUACCCUGGCUAGAUCACCUAAGUGCCUUAUGUUCCGACCUUGGUUGACCUAUAGUCACGAUGCAGUCACGUUAUAUGGUUCA